ensembl:lncRNA
GUUCCAGCUCGGAAGAAAGCAUGGCGAUGGAGAAGAGAAUUCCGCGGAAAAGGGCACGACCUCAACGUCUGAUUGACGAGAAUGACGAAGAAGCCGUGUUUCUACCAGAGCAUGCUAUCCAGAGGUAUAAAAAGGUCCUGCAGUACAUCGAUAAGGGAGUCACCAAAACCCUGGCUUACCGCAAGUGUGGGAUUGACCGAAAAACCAUUGUUGACACUGCAGCAAUAGCGGAGCUGGAUGCGUGUGACACUGAAGCCUACAAGAGCUUGCGUGAAAAUUUUCAUAGAGGGCAAAAACUGUCACAAUUUGCAGAGAAAUGCAGGGAAAUUUGCAAGAAAGAGCCACUUCAAACUUUGAUUGAAGAUAAAAAGAAAAAUGGCCAGCUAAUUGACCUCUGUCACAGACAAAAAUAACUUUUGUUCACAUGUGUGUUGGCAAGGUUGAAGUUCAGGCCUUGAGAGUUGACGUUUUAUAGUUUUUA